rnacentral:rRNA from 1 species
AUUGAACGCUGGCGGCAUGCCUUACACAUGCAAGUCGAACGGCAGCACGGGGGCAACCCUGGUGGCGAGUGGCGAACGGGUGAGUAAUGCAUCGGAACGUGCCCAGUAGUGGGGGAUAACCAGUCGAAAGACUGGCUAAUACCGCAUACGACCCAAGGGUGAAAGCGGGGGACCGUAAGGCCUCGCGCUAUCGGAGGGGCCGAUGUCUGAUUAGCUAGUUGGCGGGGUAAGAGCCCACCAAGGCGACGAUCAGUAGCUGGUCUGAGAGGACGACCAGACACAAUGGGACUGAGACACGGCCCGGACGCCUACGGGAGGCAGCAGUGGGGAAUAUUGGACAAUGGGCGCAAGCCUGAUCCAGCCAUGCCGCGUGCGGGAAGAAGGCCUUCGGGUUGUAAACCGCUUUUGGCAGGAACGAAACGGCGCAGGCCAAUACCUUGCGCUAAUGACGGUACCUGCAGAAUAAGCACCGGCUAACUACGUGCCAGCCGCCGCCGUAACAC